rnacentral:ncRNA from 1 species
CAAAGGUUUGGUCCUGGCCUUCUUAUUAGUUAUCAGUAGGCCUACACAUGCAAGUUGCCGCACUCCAGUGAGAAUGCCCUCUAGAUCACGCGACCAAAAGGAGCAGGUAUCAAGCUCACUUCAACCAACAAGUAGCUCACAACACCUUGCUUAGCCACACCCCCACGGGUAACAGCAGUGAUAGACAUUAAGCAAUAAACGAAAGUUUGACUAAGCCAUACUGACCACAUCUGCUUAAGGGUUGGUAAAUUUCGUGCCAGCCACCGCGGUCAUACGAUUAACCCAAACUAAUAAAACCCGGCGUAAAGAGUGUUUUAGAUAGACACAUAAUAAAGUUAAGUAUUAACUAAGCCGUAAAAAGCCCUAGUUAAAACAAAAAUAAACAGCGAAAGCAACUUUAAACCUCUGAAAACACGACAGUUAAGACCCAAACUGGGAUUAGAUACCCCACUAUGCUUAACCGUAAACCUAAAUAUCUAAUCAACAAAGUUAUUCGCCAGAGCACUACAAGCAACAGCUUAAAACUCAAAGGACUUGGCGGUGCUUUAUAUCCCCCUAGAGGAGCCUGUUCUAUAAUCGAUAAACCCCGAUAAACCUCACCACCCCUUGCUAAUUCAACCUAUAUACCGCCAUCCUCAGCAAACCCUGUUAAGGUAACAAAGUAAGCAAGAGAAUCGCACAUUAAAACGUUAGGUCAAGGUGUAGUCUAUGAGGUGGGAAGAAAUGGGCUACAUUUUCUACUUACCAUAGAACAAUUAACGCCAGCCCCUAUGAAACACAUUGGCAAAAGGCGGAUUUAGCAGUAAAUUAAGAAUAGAGAGCUUAGUUGAACAGGGCAAUGAAGCACGCACACACCGCCCGUCACCCUCCUCAAACUACUUUAGAACCUCAACAUACAUAAUCCACAUUACUAAACUACUAGAGGAGAUAAGUCGUAACAAGGUAAGCAUACUGGAAAGUGUGCUUGGAUUCAC